ensembl:lncRNA
AAAAUCUCAAAUUUGGACACAUCAAACGAAAGGACAGAUUUCCCCCGAUCUAAUAUCCAUUGCUCGUGUUUCUUGACCCAAGCAAGUCUCCUCUUCUUAUUGGUGUCUUUAGAAGUGGUUUCUUUGCAGCAAUUCGACCAUGAAGGCCUGAUUCACGCAGUCUACUCUGAACAGUUGAUGUUGAGAUGUGUCUGUUACUUGAACUCUGUGAAGUAUUUAUUAGGGCUGCAAUUUCUGUGGCUGUGCAGCAAAGGUAUCUCUGGGUCUUCCUUUCCUGUGGCGGUCCUCAUGAGAGCCACUUUCAUCAUAGCACUUAAUGGUUUUUGAAACUGCACUUGAAGAAAUGUUCAAAGUUCUUGACAUUUUCCAUUUUGACCUUCAUGUCUUCAAGUAAUGAUGGACUGUUGUUUCUCUUUGCUUAUUUCAGCUGUUCUUGACAUAAUAUGGACUUGGUCUUUUACCAAAUAGGGCUAUCUUCUGUAUACCACCCCUACCGUGUCACAACACAACUGAUUGGCUUAAACACAUUAAGAAGGAAAGAAAUUCCACAAAUGUACUUUUAACAAGGCACACCUGUUAAUUGAAAUGCAUUCCAGGUGACUACCUCAUGAAGCUGGUUGAGAGAAUACCAAGCGUGUGCAAAGCUGUCAUCAAGGCAAAGGGCGUCUACUUUGAAGAAUCUCAAAUAUAACAUUAUAUUUGGAUUUGUUUAACACUUUUCUUUUGCUUACUGCAUGAUUCCAUAUGUGUUAUUUCAUAGUUGUGAUGUCUUCACUAUUAUUCAACAAUGUAGAAAAUUGUAGAAAUAAAGAAAAACCCUUGAAUGAGUAGGUGUGUCAACUUUUGACUCCUACUGUAUAUAUAUAUAUGUGUGUGUGUGUGUGUGUGUGUGUGUGUGUGUGUGCUGCUACUGUGUGUGUGGAGCUUGGUGGGUCUGGCAGGACUUCACGCCUCGUCUCUCCCAGUAAUGACCCCCUACUCUAGGCAUGGUCCUCUCCAGACAGGCCAGCACCCGAGGGCAGGGGCCGGAACAUUCUUGCCAGAUUGCUUUUCAAAUCCCAAAAUGUAUCCUUUUCCAGCUCUUGUUCGCUAGACAGAUAGUUCCUUUUCUCUUCUUUCUUCUUUCUCAUCACUCUUUCUGUUCCUCUCAUCUUGUAGAUUGGUUGUAGAUGGGUAGGGGGGGUCAGAGGUCAAGUGAAGGAGCUAAGCCUGAGUGGAGGUAUUUUUAAGAUCCUAGGGGAGGUAGUGGACAUUGUGGAGAGGAAAUCUCUCUCACAGAAACACGUCCCACUGCUUCACAACUCAUUUGGAGUUGGUCAUUUACAUUGUUGUUACAUCAUUAUAAUUCGAAUUACCAUUUUAUUGUAAUUUUUUAGGUAUAUAGUGGUAAAUACUGUAGCAUACCAUAAGAUAAAGAGUUUUUGUCAUGUAAUAAGUAGACAUUCAUUCCUCUCUCUCUCUGUUGUUUUCCAGGUUUGCCUCUGCAGGAGAUGAUGGCCUGGUGUUGGUGUGGAACGUUGAGAUGCACAAUCGAGAGCAUCCUGUCGGGCUGUAUCACCGCCUGGUACGGCAACUGCUCCGCCAACAACCGUAAGGCUCUCCAGAGGGUAGUGAGGUCUGCACAACGCAUCACCGGGGGCAAACUACCUGCCCUCCAGGACACCUACACCACCCGAUGUCACAGGAAGGCCAAAAAGUUUAUCAAGGACAACAACCUCCCGAGCCACUGCCUGUUCACCCCGCUAUCAUCCAGAAGGCAAGGUCAGUACUGGUGCAUCAGGGACUGAAAAACAGCUUCUAUCUCAAGGCCAUCAGACUGUUAAACAGCCAUCACUAACAUUGAGUGGCUGCUGCCAACAUAUUGACUCAACUCCAGCCACUUUAAUAAUGGAAAAAUUGAUGUAAUCAAUUUAUCACUAGCCACUUUAUAUUAUAUAAUGUUUACAUACCCUACAUUACUCAUCUCAUAUGUAUAUACUGUACGCCAUACCAUCCACUGCAUCUUGCCAUCUUGAUGUAAUUAAAUGUAUCACUAGCCACUUUAAACAAUGCCACUUUAUGUAAUGUUUUCAUACCCUACAUUACUCAUCUCAUAUGUAUAUACUGUACGCUAUACCAUCUACUGCAUCUUGCCUCUGCCGUUCGGCCAUCACUCAUGUAUUUUUAUGUACAUAUUCGUAUUCAUUCCUUUACACUUGUGUGUAUAAAGUAGUUGUUGUGGAAUUGUUAGGUUAUAUGAC